GAAGGAAGGAAAUGGAGUUUGGGCAAAAUCAUUACACGUCAAGAAUGGAUCUAGCAAAGCAACUGCUCAAGCUGUGAGAAUACAGUGAUAUAUCUCAGCAAAAGGGAGAAUUGAAGGUCAAAAAGAAAGUCCUUGUGCUGCACUACAGUUUCCAUCUUCCCCUGAAGCUUGUCUGGACCCGGUGCUGUUCCUGGUGACAGGGCCAUCACAGUGAGAGGAGCCAAUCCUGCUCGUGUGCCCUCCCUCAGAAACAGCCCCAGAGUGAGCAGGGGCUCUUCACUGGCCUUGUCUUUCAGUGUUAGGAUGGUGAUGCCUGGCUGUUUGAGGUCAGAAGCAUUUUGAUCUUCUUCAUGGAGCUCCCCACAAGGGAGAGAUUCUGGUGUACCUGAUUCAAAGUGGCUGGAAAGCACGAUGGUGAAGAGUGAAAAAGCAUGCAAAUAACUUGUUUAUCCGUAGAGAUGGAUGCUUUGUGCUGUCACAAGCUGUGCUGUUGACUCAACCCAGCUUUGCUUUCCUGGAACUGGGGGAGCUGACAAAGCUUGCUGAGGAAGACUCCUAAGCCAGGGAGCUUUUGGUUUCACGACAGCUCCAUGGAGCAUGACGAUGCUUUGAUCUGUGGUAUUGAUUACAUGAGAAAGGAAAGGAAAGGAAGGUGGGAAAUAAAGAUGGUAAAAUAAAAUUUCCAAGUGCAGAUUUAAAAUCCCACAGCAAAA